rnacentral:rRNA from 1 species
AUUGAACGCUGGCGGCAGGCCUAAUACAUGCAAGUCGAGCGGAGCGGCGGACGGGUGAGUAAUGCCUAGGAAUCUGCCUGGUAGUUGGGGAUAACGUCAGGAACCGGGCGCUAAUACCGCAUACUAUCAGAUGAGCCUAGGACGGAUUAGCUAGUUGGAGUGGUAAAGGCCUACCAAGGCGACGAUCCGUAACUGGUCUGAGAGGAUGAUCAGUCACAUUGGAACUGAGACACGGUCCAUACUCCUACGGGAGGCAGCAGUGGGGAAUAUGGGAAAAUGGGCGCAAGCCUGAUCCAGCCAUACCGAGUGUGUGAAGAAGGCCUUCGGGUUGUAAAGCCCUUUUGUGGUGAAAGCGGUACCCAAAGAAUAAGCACCGGCUAACUUCGUGCCAGCAGCCGCGGUAAUUC